UGCAGUCGAACGAACUCUGGUAUUGAUUGGUGCUUGCAUCAUGAUUUACAUUUGAGUGAGUGGCGAACUGGUGAGUAACACGUGGGAAACCUGCCCAGAAGCGGGGGAUAACACCUGGAAACAGAUGCUAAUACCGCAUAACAACUUGGACCGCAUGGUCCGAGUUUGAAAGAUGGCUUCGGCUAUCACUUUUGGAUGGUCCCGCGGCGUAUUAGCUAGAUGGUGGGGUAACGGCUCACCAUGGCAAUGAUACGUAGCCGACCUGAGAGGGUAAUCGGCCACAUUGGGACUGAGACACGGCCCAAACUCCUACGGGAGGCAGCAGUAGGGAAUCUUCCACAAUGGACGAAAGUCUGAUGGAGCAACGCCGCGUGAGUGAAGAAGGGUUUCGGCUCGUAAAACUCUGUUGUUAAAGAAGAACAUAUCUGAGAGUAACUGUUCAGGUAUUGACGGUAUUUAACCAGAAAGCCACGGCUAACUACGUGCCAGCAGCCGCGGUAAUACGUAGGUGGCAAGCGUUGUCCGGAUUUAUUGGGCGUAAAGCGAGCGCAGGCGGUUUUUUAAGUCUGAUGUGAAAGCCUUCGGCUCAACCGAAGAAGUGCAUCGGAAACUGGGAAACUUGAGUGCAGAAGAGGACAGUGGAACUCCAUGUGUAGCGGUGAAAUGCGUAGAUAUAUGGAAGAAC
rnacentral:rRNA from 1 species